rnacentral:lncRNA from 1 species
UCCCAGCUACUUGGGAGGCUGAGGCAGGAGAAUCACUUGAACCUGGGAGGUGGAGGAGGUGGUAGUGACCCGAGAUCAUGCCACUGCACUACAGCCUGGGUGACAGAGUGAGAAUGUCUCAGCAAACAAAAAAUUGUUGAGUGGGCCUAGGCAGGUGAACCAGAAGAGGCUGGAGGGGAAGGCAGAUGUGACUGAGAAGGGCCCUGGACACUGCAGUGAAGAGCUGGGCCGGACCUGGGGGUGGAGGGAAGCCUCAUGCUUUGCAGUCAGUUACACACCCAUCUUGCUGUUAGGUGCAGAAUGAACUAGAAUGGGUAAGAGCAGAGUGGGGAGCACAGUGCAGAGCUGCUGCUAAGACCCAGAUGAGACAGUGGACAGGCUACAGAGACACGAAGGAGGUAGAAUUAAAGGGACAUGAAAUAACCAAGUGCCUUCAGCUAGCGAGCUCCUCCGGAGAUGGAGCCAUUGGAUUCCAGCGCCUGAUGUCACUGAGAGUGGAAUAAGGCAGCUAACCCCCCUGUUUUCUCAUGCCUACCAAGCAGCCUCCUGAUUAUAAUUGGGCUUCCCAUGUAGCUCUGCCUACGGGAAGAGAAAGCACCGCUGGGGUGGAGGCCAGGGCUGCGGUCUUGCUCUAAAUUAAUCAACUGCCAUUCUGGUUUGUAGCUAUCAGUCUCUGGGAGCUGGGAUAAUUGGAGACACAGACCAGCUCUUGGUUUGCCAGCAACUCUGGUUCCUGUGCUUGAGGGGUUGCAGAUCUGAGUGGGCAGGGGGCUGGGGCAUCAUGGAUAUGAUGCCACCCUGUAGGGCCCUUGGUGGGUGGUCAACAGGCUUCUCCCAAGGGUGCCCUGUUAGAGCUCACACCUGUAAUUUAAACUCUUCGGGGGGCCAAGGCAGGGGGAUCAUUUGAGGCCAGGAGUUAAAGCCCAGUGAGGUGCAACACAGUCAGACCCCGUUUCUACAAAUAAUUAAAAAAAUUAGCUGGGCAUGGUGGUGUGUGCCUAUAGUCCCAGGUUCUCAGAAGGUAGAGGUGGGAAGAUUGUUUAAGCCUAGGAGGUCGAGGCUGCAGUGAGCCAUGAUCACGCCACUGCACGCCAGCCUGGGUGACAAAGCAAGACUCUCAAUCAAUCAAUCAAUCAAUCAAUAGAAAAAAUUAGAACUGUGAGUCUUCUCAGUAUCUGGGGGUGCUCUGUCCUACAAGGGGAAAACCACAGAACUACAUACCACUCAGGAAUGUGGUCAACAAGAACAAGAACAAAGAACUCAGGGCAGUCAUGGGCUUUACAUCAUCUAACAUUAGAUCUGGCCAGCUGCGGUGGCUCACACCUGUAAUCCCAGCACUUUGGGAGGCCGAGGCGGGUGGAUCACCUGAGGUCAGGAGUUCAAGACCAGGUUGGC